rnacentral:rRNA from 1 species
CCUACGGGUGGCAGCAGUGAGGAAUAUUGGUCAAUGGGCGGAAGCCUGAACCAGCCAAGCCGCGUGCGGGAAGACGGCACUGUGAAUUGUAAACUGCUUUUGUCCAAGGGUAAACCUGGAUACGUGUCUUCAGCUGAAAGUACUGUAAGAAUAAGGAUCGGCUAACUCCGUGCCAGCAGCCGCGGUAAUACGGAGGAUGCAAGCGUUAUCCGGAUUUAUUGGGUUUAAAGGGUGCGUAGGCGGAUUGAUAAGUUAGAGGUGAAAUGUCCGAGCUUAACUCGGGCACUGCCUCUAAUACUGUUGAGCUAGAGAGUAGAUGCGGUAGGCGGAAUGUAUGGUGUAGCGGUGAAAUGCUUAGAGAUCAUACAGAACACCGAUUGCGAAGGCAGCUUACCAA